UACGGAGGGUGCGAGCGUUGUCCGGAAUCACUGGGCGUAAAGGGCGCGUAGGCGGCCUGUUAAGUAGGGGGUGAAAUCCUGCGGCUUAACCGCAGGGCUGCCUUCUAAACUGUCAGGCUCGAGCACAGUAGAGGCAGGUGGAAUUCCCGGUGUAGUGGUGGAAUGCGUAGAGAUCGGGAAGAACAUCAGUGGCGAAGGCGGCCUGCUGGGCUGUUCUUGACGCUGAGGCGCGAAAGCUAGGGGAGCAAACGGG
rnacentral:rRNA from 1 species